rnacentral:rRNA from 1 species
CUGAAUACAUAGGGUAAGGAGGCGAACCGGGGGAACUGAAACAUCUAAGUACCCCGAGGAAAAGAAAUCAACCGAGAUUCCGAAAGUAGCGGCGAGCGAAAUUGGACUAGCCCUUAAGCUUUACACGCGUUAGACGAACGGUCUGGAAAGUCCGACGAUACAGGGUGAUAGUCCCGUAGUUGACGACGUGUGUUCAGUGAAAUCGAGUAGGGCGGGACACGUGAUAUCCUGUCUGAAUAUGGGGGGACCAUCCUCCAAGGCUAAAUACUACUGACUGACCGAUAGUGAACCAGUACCGUGAGGGAAAGGCGAAAAGAACCCCUGUGAGGGGAGUGAAAUAGAACCUGAAACCGUGUACGUACAAGCAGUAGGAGCAGGCUUUGUCCUGUGACUGCGUACCUUUUGUAUAAUGGGUCAGCGACUUAUAUUCAGUGGCAAGGUUAACCAUCUAGGGGAGCCGUAGGGAAACCGAGUCUUAACUGGGCGUUCAGUCUCUGGAUAUAGACCCGAAACCAGGUGAUCUAGCCAUGGGCAGGUUGAAGGUUGAGUAACAUCAACUGGAGGACCGAACCGACUAAUGUUGAAAAAUUAGCGGAUGACUUGUGGCUAGGGGUGAAAGGCCAAUCAAACCUGGAGAUAGCUGGUUCUCCCCGAAAGCUAUUUAGGUAGCGCCUCGGACGAAUACUACUGGGGGUAGAGCACUGUUAAGGCUAGGGGGUCAUCCCGACUUACCAACCCUUUGCAAACUCCGAAUACCAGUAAGUACUAUCCGGGAGACACACGGCGGGUGCUAACGUCCGUCGUGGAGAGGGAAACAACCCAGACCGCCAGCUAAGGUCCCAAAUUACUACUAAGUGGGAAACGAUGUGGGAAGGCUCAGACAGCCAGGAUGUUGGCUUAGAAGCAGCCAUCAUUUAAAGAAAGCGUAAUAGCUCACUGGUCGAGUCGGCCUGCGCGGAAGAUGUAACGGGGCUAAGUAGUAAACCGAAGCUGCGGCAAUGUGCUUUUGCACAUUGGGUAGGGGAGCGUUCUGUAAGCGGUUGAAGGUGUGUGGUAACGCAUGCUGGACGUAUCAGAAGUGCGAAUGCUGACAUGAGUAACGAUAAAGGGGGUGAAAAACCUCCUCGCCGGAAGACCAAGGGUUCCUGUCCAACGUUAAUCGGGGCAGGGUAAGUCGACCCCUAAGGCGAGGCCGAAAGGCGUAGUCGAUGGGAAACGGGUUAAUAUUCCCGUACUUCUUACAAUUGCGAUGGGGGGACGGAGAAGGCUAGGUGGGCCUGGCGACGGUUGUCCAGGUUCAAGUGCGUAGGCUUAAGAGUUAGGUAAAUCCGGCUCUUUUUAAGGCUGAGACACGACGUCGAGCACCUACGGGUGUGAAGUCAUUGAUGCCAUGCUUCCAGGAAAAGCCUCUAAGCUUCAGAUUGUAAGGAAUCGUACCCCAAACCGACACAGGUGGUCGGGUAGAGAAUACCAAGGCGCUUGAGAGAACUCGGGUGAAGGAACUAGGCAAAAUGGUACCGUAACUUCGGGAGAAGGUACGCUCUUGAUGGUGAAGUCCCUCGCGGAUGGAGCUGACGAGAGUCGCAGAUACCAGGUGGCUGCAACUGUUUAUUAAAAACACAGCACUGUGCAAAAUCGUAAGAUGACGUAUACGGUGUGACGCCUGCCCGGUGCCGGAAGGUUAAUUGAUGGGGUUAGACUUCGGUCGAAGCUCUUGAUCGAAGCCCCGGUAAACGGCGGCCGUAACUAUAACGGUCCUAAGGUAGCGAAAUUCCUUGUCGGGUAAGUUCCGACCUGCACGAAUGGCGUAAUGAUGGCCACGCUGUCUCCACCCGAGACUCAGUGAAAUUGAAAUCGCUGUGAAGAUGCAGUGUACCCGCGGCUAGACGGAAAGACCCCGUGAACCUUUACUACAGCUUGGCACUGAACAUUGACCCUACAUGUGUAGGAUAGGUGGGAGGCUUUGAAGCACGUACGCCAGUAUGUGUGGAGCCGUCCUUGAAAUACCACCCUUGUAGUGUUGAUGUUCUAACGUCGACCCCUUAUCGGGGUUGCGGACAGUGCCUGGUGGGUAGUUUGACUGGGGCGGUCUCCUCCCAAAGAGUAACGGAGGAGCACGAAGGUGGGCUAAUCACGGUUGGACAUCGUGAGGUUAGUGCAAUGGCAUAAGCCCGCUUGACUGCGAGAAUGACAAUUCGAGCAGGUGCGAAAGCAGGUCAUAGUGAUCCGGUGGUUCUGAAUGGAAGGGCCAUCGCUCAACGGAUAAAAGGUACUCCGGGGAUAACAGGCUGAUACCGCCCAAGAGUUCAUAUCGACGGCGGUGUUUGGCACCUCGAUGUCGGCUCAUCACAUCCUGGGGCUGAAGUCGGUCCCAAGGGUAUGGCUGUUCGCCAUUUAAAGUGGUACGCGAGCUGGGUUUAGAACGUCGUGAGACAGUUCGGUCCCUAUCUGCCGUGGGCGUUGGAAGAUUGAAGGGGGCUGCUCCUAGUACGAGAGGACCGGAGUGGACGAACCUCUGGUGUUCGGGUUGUGUCGCCAGACGCAUUGCCCGGUAGCUAAGUUCGGAAUCGAUAACCGCUGAAAGCAUCUAAGCGGGAAGCGAGCCCUGAGAUGAGUCUUCCCUGAUACUUUAAGUAUCCUAAAGGGUUGUCGGAGACUACGACGUUGAUAGGUCAGGUGUGUAAGUGCUGUGAGGCAUUGAGCUAACUGAUACUAAUUGCCCGUGAGGCUUAACCAUACAACACCCAAGGGGUUU